ACGCUCGACACCUACGGGAGCAGCAGUCGGGAAUAUUGCGCAAUGGAGGGAACUCUGACGCAGUGACGCCGCGUAUAGGAAGAAGGUUUUCGGAUUGUAAACUAUUGUCGUUAGGGAAGAGAAAGGACAGUACCUAAGGAGGAAGCUCCGGCUAACUACGUGCCCGCAGCCGCCGGUAAUCUGAGCGGGCGUGGCGAAGGC
rnacentral:rRNA from 1 species